CUGACACAGGCCCUACCCGUAGCUUCUACAUCCCUCUUCCAUCACAGCACAAGCACACAGAACCCUAAUUGGUAGUGCCAGAGACGCAGCAGGGACAAAACAUCACCUUGGGUCAGAUCUCAAGAAGGCCCUUUGGGUUUCACAGAUGAAUGACAGGCAACCCCAGAGCACAUCAUUUGCCUCUCAGUCUGCCAAGAGAGACCUCUAGCUAUGCUUGAUACAGGUAUAGAAAAGAGGAGAUGGAAUUUGUGAUACACUAUGAAAUGGAUCACCAAGGGAAAAUUUUCACAAAUAGAAUGGAUUGCGGUUCCUGAAGGUACCAAGCAUUAAAAAAAGUUUUGUGACUUAACCAAGAUCACAGCUAGUUCUUGCCAAUGGGACCCAGGUCUCCUGACAACUAGACAAACUCAUUCCACUAGACCUUACUGACUUGCAGUAAUUUUUUUGCCCUAAAAUGGAAAUUCUUAUUUUGGCAUUCAUUCAACUGAAGAGAUAUAUAGAUAUACAGGUGGCCUUAUAUUUAAGUGCAGGAUGCUCCACUGUCUUUUCCAAAACUCAAGCAAUAUUUCUCAUUUCCUUUAUUUAUUUAUUUUAUUUAUUUAUUUAUUCUUUCAUUCAUUUCACAGAUGUAUUGAGCUACUGCUACAUGCCUGACCUGGUUCUAAUUUCUGGGGAUAGAAAUGAUCCUUUCUUAACAGAACUGGCAUUAAACAAAUAAUUACAAUUCCUACCAAGUGGGAAAAUACAGGAUCCGAUAGGGAGUAAACAAAGGGAGUUCAGAAAAGUCCUAUCAGGAAAGUCACCUUUAAGAUGUAAAGAUGCCCAGUAGUUAAGUGAUAAAUAGGGACACCUAUGUUUCUGCAAGACAACACAGCAUGUUCAGGAAACUGAAGGAAGACUUGAUGGCUACACCAAGUGAACAAAAAGCAGAGCAUUUGAAGAAGGUGGACAGUUUUGUGGGGCAGGAAUACUGAGUGUCCCACACUGCUAAUUGCCAUGGAGGUCAGGAGAUGUAUGAUCAGAAUUGAGUUUUCAAAGAAAAAUUACUCUACUUCUGCAUGGUCUCCUUUACAGAAGGGAGUGGGUUAAAAUGGUCACCAGGAGUCUA
rnacentral:lncRNA from 1 species